GGGCUGGGAAUUUCGCCCUUUUGGAGUUUGAUCCUUGGGUUCAGGACGAACCGCUGGCGGCGGGGCUUACCACAUGCAAGUCGAACGAUGAAGGUAUGACGGAGCUUCGGCCGACAGAAUAACGGAAUAGUGGCGGACGGGUGAGUAACGCGUGAGUAACCUGCCUUUCAGAGAGGAAUAACAUUUGGAAACGAAUGGUAAUACCACAUAACAUUACGUUCUCGCAUGGGGAUGUAAUCAAAAGAUUUAUCGCUGAGAGAUGGACUCGCGUCCGAUUAGCUAGAUGGUGAGGUAACGGCCCACCAUGGCGACGAUCGGUAGCCGGACUGAGAGGUUGAACGGCCACAUUGGGACUGAGACACGGCCCAGACUCCUACGGGAGGCAGCAGUGGGGAAUAUUGCACAAUGGGGGAAACCCUGAUGCAGCAACGCCGCGUGAGGGAAGACGGUCUUCGGAUUGUAAACCUUUGUCUUUGGUGAAGAAGAAAGUGACGGUAGCCAAGGAGGAAGCCACGGCUAACUACGUGCCAGCAGCCGCGGUAAUACGUAGGUGGCAAGCGUUGUCCGGAAUUACUGGGUGUAAAGGGAGCGCAGGCGGGACAGCAAGUUGGAUGUGAAAUACCGAGGCUUAACCACGGAGCUGCAUCCAAAACUGUUGUUCUUGAGUGAAGUAGAGGUAGGCGGAAUUCCGAGUGUAGCGGUGAAAUGCGUAGAUAUUCGGAGGAACACCAGUGGCGAAGGCGGCCUACUGGGCUUUAACUGACGCUGAGGCUCGAAAGUGUGGGGAGCAAACAGGAUUAGAUACCCUGGUAGUCCACACUGUAAACGAUGAUUGCUAGGUGUGGGGGGUCUGACCCCCUCCGUGCCGGAGUAACGCAAUA
rnacentral:rRNA from 1 species